GUUUUCGGAUGGAAUCUUCAUUGACUGAGCGGCGGACGGGUGAGUAACGCGUGGGUAACCUGCCUCAUACAGGGGGAUAACAGUUAGAAAUGACUGCUAAUACCGCAUAAGACCACAGCACCGCCUGGUGCAGAGGUAAAAACUCCGGUGGUAUGAGAUGGACCCGCGUCUGAUUAGCUAGUUGGUGAGGUAACGGCCCACCAAGGCGACGAUCAGUAGCCGACCUGAGAGGGUGACCGGCCACAUUGGGACUGAGACACGGCCCAAACUCCUACGGGAGGCAGCAGUGGGGAAUAUUGCACAAUGGGCGAAAGCCUGAUGCAGCAACGCCGCGUGAGUGAAGAAGUAUUUCGGUAUGUAAAGCUCUAUCAGCAGGGAAGAAAAUGACGGUACCUGACUAAGAAGCCCCGGCUAACUACGUGCCAGCAGCCGCGGUAAUACGUAGGGGGCAAGCGUUAUCCGGAUUUACUGGGUGUAAAGGGAGCGUAGACGGCGAAGCAAGUCUGGAGUGAAAACCCAGGGCUCAACCCUGGGACUGCUUUGGAAACUGUUUUGCUAGAGUGUCGGAGAGGUGAGUGGAAUUCCUAGUGUAGCGGUGAAAUGCGUAGAUAUUAGGAGGAACACCAGUGGCGAA
rnacentral:rRNA from 1 species